ensembl:misc_RNA Metazoa_SRP Metazoan signal recognition particle RNA
GCCAGGUGUAGUGGCCUGCACCUGUAGUCCUAGCUAUUCUGGAGGCUGAGAUGGGAGCAUCGCUUGAGCCCAGGUGUCCUGCGCUGCAGUGAGCUACGACUGUACCACUGCACUUUAGCCUGGGUGACAGAGCGAGACCAUGUCUCUU